rnacentral:lncRNA from 1 species
CGCGCUGCUGCAUCCACGGAGGCGGUGGGCUCGGGCAGUCAUGGAGCACUCGGGAACCAGCGAAGUGACAGGCGCAGACACGGCGGGACCCGACCCUCAGCUGGCGGUCACCAUGGGCUUCACAGGAUUCGAAAGCUCGCACAUUUGACUUGGAGGCCAUGUUCGAGCAAACUCGAAGGACAGCGGUGGAAAGAAGCCGGAAAACACUGGCGGAACCAGUAUUUGGAAGGCUGGGCCAGAGGUGGCUGUCACCAUUGCUUGUUGACCCAGACAGUAUAGAACAUUGUGACACACACUGAUGUGGCUGCUGCUGUUGAAUCCCUGCUUUAAUGAGCUGUAGGAGAUACUUAAUGAAGCCUUACUUCCAGAUGGCUUUUCCAGAUGGUUGGCAGUUCUAGGAACCACCUUAGGGUCUCCAGAGAACACUGGCAGUGUGCUUUCUUUGGCUCUAACUCAGAUCUCUCUUGUACUAGAGGACGGUCUGGAGUUUGGGAACAGCUGGAUUUAAAUCAGUGCUGUGAUAGUACUUGUCAUGUUUGUUUAUUUUUGUUUUUGUUUGCAGUUGGGACAGGGUCACACUGUAAUCCUGGCUGACUCUCUGUGUAGACCAGGAUGGCUUUGACUUCUGGCAGGGUAUCUCCUUCAGCCUCCUGAAUGCUCAGAUUAGAGGAACGAGCUACCAAUACCUAGAUCUGACCCAAAUUCAAUUUUAGUGACAAAGAUGAGAUAUGGGAUCUUACAAUAUUACCCUGGGGAGGCUUGAACUCAUGGACCAAGUUAUCCUUCUGUCUCAGCUCCCUGAGUACCAAGUAUUUAGGAGUGCACUACUGUGCCCAGCAGUUAGUUUUGGUUUUAAAAUGCUGAAUUGUGGGGCUGGAAGGUGGCUCAGCGAUUAUGAGGACUAGAUAUUCUUCCAUAGCACCUGGUGAGUUCCCAGCAUCCACCUGAUGGCUCACAACUCCUUAAGGACCUCCAGUGUCUGGGGAUAGGACACCCUCUUCUGGCCUCCUUGGACACUGCACACAUAUGGUGCCCAGACAUCCAUGCAGGCAAAAGCAUUCAUACAUGUAACAAUAAUAAAUAAAAUAUUCAAAAGUUAA